CUUGCCUUCGGCAUCAGGGAGCGUAAUCGUGAAAAGUGGAAUAGCGAACAGGGAAGCCGACCGCGCGCGUUGGUGCCCUGGCCGUUGCGCAGACGCCGAGCGUGCGUGUGGGGCCUGUGAUCGUAACUGGAGCAGCAAGGGCGUUUGCGCACGAACACGCAUUACACCGACGACCUGUAUUUUGCCUGUGGUCUUCCCUCCUUGCUCGCUGCCUCCCUUUCUCGUUCGUUUUGUUGCAUCCCCGCUUUCCGGGGCGUCGUUUCUUCUUUUUCGAUCUUGACUGGACAACGAUGCUUCGCCCAACGUGCCCCGUUGCCAAGAACCUGACGUCGUUCGCGACGAAGGGCACGAUGCGUGGCGGCAUCCCUCGCAUUUACUAUACCUGGAUGAAGCCUGGAAGUGCCACGCGCCGCCGCUUUGAGAAGAUGCGCAACCCGUUCGUCAACCUCGAGACCGGCACCUCGCUCUACUUCCGCGACACCCGCGACUCUGCUGAGGCUGUAGCGCACGCCGCGGACAGCAAAGGGCUGAAGGGCAUGGACAACGGCAUUGACCUGUAUAACGAGUACAAGAUCGUGCCGGACCUCUACCCGGAGGGCUUUCAAUGGAAGCACAAGCUGAAUACGGAGUACAAUCAGUGGCGCUCCAACACCUGGCUGACACCGGAGCUCAUUCCGCAAGAACACCGCGGGCGGUUUCUUUGCAACUUCCAGCUCAACAUCGUCGCAUAUGAUAUGCGGGUGGUGAAGUUUAGCCCGAAAGACCAUCGUCAGUGGAUUUACUGUGUCUUGUACGUGGGCACCGGCAAGGGCAUCGCGGGCUUUGGACGCGCGGUGGCGCCGAGCACGCAGGAGGCCCGCAACGAGGCGAUUCGCGAGGCUUUCUCGAACAUCAUUGCCGUGGACUUGGAGCAAGAGGGCCCCAUGUACCCUGUCCGCAUCAACGCCGAUGGUGCGCGAGUGCUGCUCUACCCGGCACGGCGUAUCAUAGCGAACUUCCGCGUAGCAGACAUCCUCUGUGCCUUUGGCUUCCAGAACGCUGGAUGCAAGAUUAACCUGAAGGCGUCCAACAACCCCAAGGCGCCGACGCACACCGUUGAAGGCGUUUUCGAGGCUGUGAAGGCUUUGCGUAGCGUCAGCGAGAUUGCGGCGAGUCGCGGAAAGGUGCCGCACAGCCUCGUGUACAAUAUAUACCCGUACCUCGAAGAGAUGCGUCGUCGCAAGGGUAUGAUGGCGAUGCACCCACCAGGCAAGGACGGCAUCUUCAUGCCGAACCGCGUCGUGGACAACCGCAUGCCAGACCAUCUCAAAAAAGGCUACUAUGACGACGUCUACUGGAAGGACUUCUUCGCCGGCAGCAAGGAGCAGCUGAAUGAGCCGAAGAUGGGCCUGCGCGGUGAUGAGCUGCGAGCGCAGCUGGAGGAGUCGCAGGGGCGUGCCGCGAAGCGGUCGAAUCGACGCACUUUGGACGACGUUCUCCGGCGGCUGGGUAAGACGCCAAGGGAUCUCGGCGCGCUGCAGGUGGUGAACCCGCGCCUCGAUGCGAAGCUCCCAACGCACGUGAAGCGCAACUAUCUUCUCCACUGAAGACUACUGAGACCGGAAGAAAAAAAAGGUCAAGUGAGAUGGGCCGCGGUGAGGCUGGGUGGGAGAACCGCUGCGCGCGCUGCUGGGGUCACGCCGGCGCAGCGCGUUUUUCUUUUUGUUGUUCGGAAGAGCGAUGUUGGACUGAAUCUCCGGCAGGAUGAUGUUUGCCGCGGUGUGACGCUCUCCAUACCAGGGAGCGGAGGCCUCGUUCACGAAGGGUGACCACAACCUCAACACGUAGAC
rnacentral:misc_RNA from 1 species